rnacentral:precursor_RNA from 1 species
ACCACCCAUUGGUUUCAACUUGCAGUUUCUUGAAUAAUAAUAAUAAUCACAUAACCCCACUUAGAGAGUGUUACAGAUGCUUGCUUUACUUAUUUUGCCUUCUCUCCUCUUCUUCAACUCUCUUAUUCUUUCUCUUUUCCUUUUUGUGUGAACCUAUGAAACCAUGCAAAAAAAAAAAAAAUGGUCCCCAUCUGCUACUUGUGUUUCAUACUCUUUUUGGUUCUUUGUUGAUGCUAACAUUACAACAACACACCCACAGGCACACAGUGAGAUGAAAGGCUCAUCCAACUAAAGUUAUAAGUAAAAGCUUCUUAGGAAAUUUAGAAACUCUCACUGCCCUGUCUGCAUGUGGUGGCGUGGGCGUGACAAUAUUCAAUUCCAUUCUUUUGGGACCACGUUUUUGCUUUUUUCUUUCUUUAUUUCUUUCUUCUAUUUUUUUUCCCAUGCUAUCCUACUUAGGUUUACCACAAGAAAUAUAUACUUUGUUAAAGUUUUGCUAUUUCCACUGCCUUUGUUUUUUCCUAGUCAUAUAAGACAAAAUAUGAUGAGAUUGUUUGUAAGAAAAAUAUGGCUGGAGUUAGUAGAAAUCAAAGUCCUCCACAUCUAGAGAAAGUCCUCUAUUUAUACCCUCCUAUCCUUCCUUAUCUAUGAAGCCUUCAUAUGGGAAUAGAAAGAUGAUAUGAAGAAAAUUAAGGUUUCAAAGGCUUAAUCUCUCUAUAUGUAUAUACCUACCCCUUAAUGAUCUUCUUGCCGUGCACCACUAGUAGUUGAAGCUGCCAGCAUGAUCUG